rnacentral:rRNA from 1 species
GUUAAAAAGCUCGUAGUCGGAUUUCAGUAUUAGGCCCUUCUUCCAAUACGGUUGCUAGUGGUCUUUACUUCCUUAACAGAAUCUUUCAUCUCAUUAAUUUGGGGUGUUUGGGGCCUGUUUCUUUUACUUUGAGAAAAUUAGAGUGUUCAAAGCGGGUUUUCGCCUGGAUAUUACUCUUGGAAUAAUAAUAUAGGACUUUGGUCCUUUUUUGUUGGUGACUUAGAACCGAAGUAAUGAUUGAUAGGGACAGUUGGGGUCAUUCGUACUAUGAAGCGAGAGGUGAAAUUCAUGGACCUUUGUAUGACGAACUACUGCGAAAGCAUUUGACUAGGAUGUUCCCGUUGAUCAAGAACGAAAGUUGGGGGAUC